UUUAAGUGUUUCAUAUAUGUUUAGUACAGUACUACGCUAUUCUGUGAAAAUUUUACAUUAAAGUUUUUGCUUGUUAUACUACGAGUAGUUCUGAACUAAAAAAUUCCGCAGUGUUGUUUUAUAAAACACCGACUCGUUUGACGUAACUGCCUGGGACGGACUCGAUAUGACUAUUUAUUUCACAGAGCAGACCUGAAUCGCAUCGCCACAAAUGGUAUUGGUGAUAACACUAUACUUUUAUUCGUAUUGACACAUACCUUCGUUUUAUCUGUAAAUCAGUAAAAUUAUAUCGAAUGUUUUUGUUUGGAAAUCUUUCAAUACAGUUAAAACAACCCAAGUCGCAACAUGUUUUGUGCCUUUGGGAAAAAAUGGGUUGCGCUUCCCGAUUUAUUUUAGUAUUUUGCUCGAUAUAUCUAGAGGAUUAUUUUGGAAAUACCUUGGAUGUUAAUCAAAACAAGUAAUAAAUGCCUACACAAAAUUAAAAACACUUGUAAAAGAUUUUCGACUACCUGUACUAAAAAUUUAAGGACUUAUACGAAACUUAUAACCGAGUAAAUUUUUUUAGUACUUGUAAAAAAUAAAGUACUUUAGUAAUCUUUAGCACUAAACAAAUAUUAAACACUCGUUAAAAAAUUCAGUACUUGUAAAAAACUAAAAAUCUUAUAAAAAAUUUAAGUGUUUGUCAAAUGGUAAAAGGAUGAAAAAAAGUCUUGAGCGUUAACAAACUAUAAAACCUUUAGGCUUUAAUUAAAACUCUAUUUUUUGGUUUUGUCUUUAUUUUUUCAUUUUUCUUUAUUUUUUAUCCCCCGCGGUAGUUAGGCUUUAAAUAAAAAUCCCUUUUUUGUUUUAUCUUUAUUUUUUUUCUAUAUCUUUUGUCCCCCGCGGUGCUGGGCGUGUACCCGACCGGGUAAUGACGCGAACCAUUUUUCUUUCUCUUUUUCGCACUCUUGGUCCCUAGCUUGGGACCAGAGGACACACCUCGUAGCAACGGAGUCGGUAGCGCGACGAGUACGUAACCACGAUAUCGUGUGUACGGGCACGUAACGUUGCCCUAUAUGCGUAAAUUCACUAAAUUGUACGUAGUAGCCAUUGCGAUGUGAGAGUUUGUUUGAGGAAAACAGGGAUAUUAUAAACAUUUUAUCUCUUUUCUUUUGUCAAAGGUGUAAUCUUCUAUUGUGACGGGGAUCGUUAGGUUCGCAAGUACUGUAAGAGCCUGUCGUUCGUCCUUCGUUUUAGACGUCGUUCGUUAUGUACCUCGUUUGUUCUUGAAAAACCUUAAGUCUGUGAACGUAGAAAUUUUACCACAUGAUGAGGACCUCGUUCGUUGUUCGUCGUUUCGUUAUGUACCUUGUCUCUUACCGCUACCGUUAUCGCACCUGCUCCCUCUUCUCCGACGCCUCGCAACGAGAGUGAGAGUGCGCCGAGAGUGAGUGAGACAGGGCGACGUUGUCCCUCGGCGGUACCGGUAGUUGCGGCUGACGGCGGCGCACGUCCGGAGCGAGGCUAGGUCGGCGGGUUCUGGAAAGGCGGGGUCAAGGUAGGGUAGGAGCGGACGGCCUCGGGGCGCAGGGUCGGCGGCAGUGGGCUCGAACCGGUACCGCGGCGGUUGGCCUCGAAGCGGGCGGAGGCCGGUAAGGAGCCGGCCGAGGACGUCGGGGCGCGGGCAGGGCCGGAGGAGGUGCGGUUCGUCGUCGAGCAGCCUCGUGCUCGAGGUGGCCCAGGCGGAGGGAGACAGCAGGGAGAAGAAGAAGAUAGAGAAAAUGAGGGAGAGACGGAGAAGAGACUUUAAAGGGGUGGAACUGGAACGUCGAGGGCGGCGGCGGGACGAGGCAAGUAGCGGAAGAGGCGGUCUAGGCCGCUCCGGGACGCAAGGGUCGUAGCAGGGGCAGUGGUCCAGCGGCGCGGCGUGGUGGCCUCUGGUCGUCGCGGCAGCGUGAGGCACAGGAUAGGGACGAGCACAUGCACGCGUCCUCUGCGCGGUCCAGCGGAGCUAAGUCCGGAGGAGGAGCGGGCACCCGGUGGUCGUGGCUCGGCCGAAAGACCGCUCUGGGGUCAGGACGGAGUCGGUGAUGCGGACUUCGGCGGGGCGGCGUCGCGCGGAGGAGCGCACGGAGCGGGGUUGACUCGUGCGGCCGGCGGAACAGGAGGAGGCGGCGCUGCGGAGCCGGGCGCUUCCGCGGAGCGGUUCGUCGCCCUCCUCAACGCACGAUCCGAGUGGACCGCGUUCGCGCGGGCGCUCGAGUGGGGGCACGGCCGGUUCCGGCGGAAGCCGCUGAGGUGUUGAGGGACAGACAGCGCGGGAGCUUGCGGGCGGUGUUCCGGCGAGGGGUAAGGACCGGAGCCCGCCGCACCUGCGGCCGUCGUUCGCCUCCGCGCACGGUCCGCCACCUCCUGCCGAGCGCCCGCAGUCGCCGUUCGCCGCACGGGCCGCCACCUCAUGCCGUUACCUAUUUGCCGCCGCCUCUUGCGUUACCUACGUCCCCCGAAAAACGUUUUAGGUUGGCAAAAGACGUCAUUGUGUAAUUUUAUCCUGACGCCCAAUUAAAAAAUAUUUGACUCCCCGAAAAUACGUUUUAGCGAUCGCUGCCUGCCCGUCUUCGUGAUAAACGAAAUAAUCAUCCCUUUCUAAAGUAUUUAUACUAUCAUACUUCUAUUAAACAAGAAAGAAAAGAGACAAGUGUUACCUAUCGUUAUAAACAACAAAAAGUCUCACAAUGUGUUAAAUAGUUUCCUUCCUGUAUGAGAUUAGAUUACUACAUAUUGUAGAAACUACACUAUCUCCUAGUACCACCAGAUACCUAAGGCGUGGGCCAUCAUCCGACUCUUUCCAUGUAACAAAGACAUUGUGUUACUACAAGUCUCGUUGGCAGGUGAUGCACUCUAGAUCUUCAACCAUAACGGGCGCCUACGUAGGUACACGAUUAGACAACCGUAACUCGCCUGCCUGGGUUCUCUUAACUUGGUACGUAACACUGGUAUGAUUAUGUAAGAUAAACAUAAUAGUGAUAUAAGUUCAUAAUUAAAACCUUUAACGCCUCUAAACAAUCCGAUAGGAAAAGAAAUACGAGAUCACCUUACCAUUUCUUAAUCAAGUAGGUCAAACAUGCUACUCAUAAGAAGCAAUGUAUAAAAUUUUGGAAAUUGUACUUCAUAAACGCGAUUGACAUAUAUAACAAACACGUACUACCCAUGUUUAAUUCCUUCUGCAAAAAUAAUAUGAACGAGUUUAUAGCACGGUUACUUCUAUUGUUG
rnacentral:rRNA from 1 species